GACGAACGCUGGCGGCGUGCUUAACACAUGCAAGUCGAACGAAGUGGCGAACGGGUGAGUAACGCGUGAGUAACUGCCCCCCUCUCUGGUCUAACAGUUGGAAACGGCUGCUAAUACCGGAUAGUGGGGGAUGACUUGCGUCCUAUCGGCUUGUUGGUGGGGUAGUGGCCUACCAAGGCGACGACGGGUAGCCGGCCUGGGAGGGCAGACAGCGACAUGGCGCUAAGAUACGGACCAGACGCGAACGGGGGGCAGCAGGGGGAAGUAUGGCACAAUGAGGGAGAGUCUGAGGAAGAGGCGCCGGGUUCGGAAAGACGGUCUUCGGGGGGGAAACCGCUUUCAGCCAUGACGCGGUAGUGGCAGAAGAAGCACCGGCUAACUACGUGCCAGCAGCCGCGGUAAUAC
rnacentral:rRNA from 1 species